AUUGAACGCUGGCGGCAGGCCUAACGCAUGCAAGUCGAGCGGCUGAAGAGAGCUUGCUCCUGGAUUCAGCGGCGGACGGGUGGGUAAUGCCUAGGAAUCUGCCUGGUAGCGGGGGAUAACGUCCGGAAACGGGCGCUCAUACCGCAUACGUCCUGAGGGACAAAGGGGGGGAGCUUCGGACCUCACGCUAUCAGAUGAGCCUAGGUCGGAUUAGCUAGUUGGUGGGGUAAAGGCCUACCAAGGCGACGAUCCGUAACUGGUCUGAGAGGAUGAUCAGUCACACUGGAACUGAGACACGGUCCAGACUCCUACGGGAGGCAGCAGUGGGGAAUAUUGGACAAUGGGCGCAAGCCUGAUCCAGCCAUGCCGCGUGUGUGAAGAAGGUCUUCGGAUUGUAAAGCACUUUAAGUUGGGAGGAAGGGCAGUAAGUUAAUACCUCGCUGUUUUGACGUUACCAACAGAAUAAGCACCGGCUAACUUCGUG
rnacentral:rRNA from 1 species